rnacentral:rRNA from 1 species
AGUGAACGCUGGCGGCAGGCCUAACACAUGCAAGUCGAACGGCAGCACAAGAGAGCUUGCUCUCUGGGUGGCGAGUGGCGGACGGGUGAGGAAUGCAUCGGAAUCUGCCCAUUUGUGGGGGAUAACCUCGGGAAACCGGGACUAAUACCGCAUACGACCUACGGGUGAAAGCAGGGGAUCUUCGGACCUUGCGCAGAUGGAUGAGCCGAUGCCGGAUUAGCUAGUUGGAGGGGUAAAGGCCCACCAAGGCGACGAUCCGUAGCUGGUCUGAGAGGAUGAUCAGCCACACUGGGACUCAGACACGGCCCAGACUCCUACGGGAGGCAGCAGUGGGGAAUAUUGGACAAAGGGCGCAAGCCUGAUCCAGCCAUGCCGCGUGUGUGAAGAAGGCCUUCGGGUUGUAAAGCACUUUUGUUGGGAAAGAAAAGCAGCCGGUUAAUACCCGGUUGUCAUGACGGUACCCAAAGAAUAAGCACCGGCUAACUUCGUG